AUUGAACGCUGGCGGCAGGCCUAACACAUGCAAGUCGAGCGAGCGGCGGACGGGUGAGUAAUGUAUGGGGACUGCCCGAUAGAGGGGGAUAACUACUGGAAACGGUGGCUAAUACCGCAUACUAUCGGAUAACCCAUAUGGGAUUAGCUAGUAGGUGGGGUAAAGGCUCACCUAGGCGACGAUCCCUAGCUGGUCUGAGAGGAUGAUCAGGCACACUGGGACCGAGAAACGGCCCAGACGCCUACGGAGGGAGCAGGUGGGAAGAUUGCAAAAUGGGCGGAAGGCUGAUGCAGCCAUGGCGCGGGGAGGAAGAAGGCCUUAGGGUUGUAAAGUACUUUCAGCGGGGAGGCGUUACCCGCAGAAGAAGCACCGGCUAACUCCGUGCCAGCAGCCGCGGUAAUAC
rnacentral:rRNA from 1 species